CUGAACCAGCCAAGUAGCGUGAAGGAUGACUGCCCUAUGGGUUGUAAACUUCUUUUAUAAAGGAAUAAAGUCGGGUAUGCAUACCCGUUUGCAUGUACUUUAUGAAUAAGGAUCGGCUAACUCCGUGCUAGCAGCCGCGGUAAUACGGAGGAUCCGAGCGUUAUCCGGAUUUAUUGGGUUUAAAGGGAGCGUAGAUGGAUGUUUAAGUCAGUUGUGAAAGUUUGCGG
rnacentral:rRNA from 1 species